UCCAAAUCUCAGAACACAGGUCGUGUUGGUUCAAUCUGUUGGAAGAAGAUGAUUAGUAAAAUGAAUAGGAAGCAUGUUUGGAACCUUAUUUUGAUUCUUGUGUUUCUCUUGAUCUCCUUUCAAUUCUCUGCAACGGCUCGGUCACUCAAUAAAUUUUACAAAUCUGCUACUUCAUCGGCUGGAAACGAUUGGUUUGGCGAUUGGCCCCCUCAUGACUAACAUUAUCUCAAGUCGUUUCUUAUGGUGAUGGUGUGCUAAAGCUGCGCAAAGGAGAACCACCUUGGAAUAAGAUCAUAUUGUUUUGUAGUCUUGAUUUCAAUAUUACUCAAGAUAUGCGUGUGUGCGUGAUAGAGAGAGGAGGGGGGGUUCUGAAGAGUAAAUCAAUAGACAUAUGAAUCUCUACUGUCGUGACUAUAUAUAUAUGUGUGUGUGUGCGUGUGCGCUCUUUCUAUGUAUUGUUAGAGGCGUUUGGAUCAACUGGCCAGUAACAAGGAGAUUGAUUCAGCUUAACUGAAAGUUUUGAGUUCAAGUUCUAUGUAUGCAACAAUGAUUAAGAUCCUGGUGGGAGUCAUGCCCCCAAAACGGUGCUCGUAAGUUGUCAAUCAGAUUAGUUUGAGUUAAAGACUUGCAAUACCUGAGGUCACGCCAAAAUGUUCAAAAUUUAA